CGUUCCGCGGCCUGAGCUUGAGUCAAGUAGAAACGGGAUAUUAACAAAUAUAUGAUUGGACAUGUACAGCAUAUAUAGCAACAUGUUACAACAUGUUAAGGUGGGUAAACAGGUAAACAUUAUGGGUGCGUUCACACCUUAAUUUGUUUACUGUGGUCUGAAUCAGUUGCUUAGUUUGUAACCUUGUAGCCAUUUCUCCUUGGUUGGUUCGGUUCCGUUCCACACAGAAAAAUCCAAAACCAAAAAACGUAACUUCAAUCUACGCGAGAACGUCCUCUCCGCUUAUUAUUGGGGGUCUCGUGCGUUGUUUUGGUGCGCACUCGAGUCAAACAACACGAACCGCACCAAGAGGGAAGACGACGUUCGAUUUAAUCGAACUAACUAAGUACGAACCUAUCCUGUGUUUGUCAGAGUGGACAAUAAAUGCGUUUCGAAUGUGCCAAAUUUUAUUCCACAAUUAUGCAGUUAUUCUACAAUCUCCAGAGUAAUAAAUUAAAACUGAUGGGUUGAAACACAAUGGCUCAUUUGGGUAAUAAAGUAGCCUUUUAUACAGUAAUUUGUAUAAAAGGGAUCGAGUUCACAUAACUCUGGUCCCAAUGUCAAAUAUAAUGUUAAUCACCACACAAUGUUAUAUAAUGUAUAAUGUUAAUGUCAAUAUGAGGAGCAAAUAAGAGUUUUGCUGACAUUUGUGAAGCUCAAGUCAACAGAUGAACGCCAUGACUAGUCUGUAACAGUUGGGUCUGUGUUGUCUUGCUGUUAGUGAAUGUGAGAGCUUGUUAUUAAGGUAUGAUCCAGUCAAUCACCAGGCUACCUGCAGUUUGUACACAAGUAUUACUGCCACAGUUGACUGUAAAGCUGCUCAGACAACGUGUGGCCAUUAGAUGUCUACACAGAUGAGUAAAACAUUAAACUCAUCAUUCAUACAGUAGCAAUGUGGUCAUUUGGCUGUUGUGGUCUGGUAGAGACAUGGUUCAUGUAAUAGAACACCUUAGUGGGGUAGAACAUGGGGGAGAGAGGCUGGUCGUGGUACAGGUCCUGGAACUGUGUUAAACUGUAAUUAAACUGUAGCAAUCCACGUCUGGACCUGGGUAACUAAACACCAUGUGUGAGCUUCACUCCCUUCCUCAGAGACAAAGCUGUGGUUCACCAGAAGAUAAGAAUGCACGGAACUCUGUCUAUUCCACAGGACACUGUUUCCCUCUCACAACAGAAUUGUAAGUUUAACAUAAACAACACACAUAUGGUUAAGUGUGACAUGAAAAGACCAUGGGUACUUUUAGGUGACACAACCUAAAUAUGUGCCUUUUUAAGUAUGUCCAAUGUUACAAUAGUUUAAUUAGUAUGCAUUUAUUCGCUUUAACCAUUCUGACUUCUCUGCUUAUUUGAGUGCCAAAGUGAUCGUUACAUGUGUAUUGUGGUAUAGUGUGACAGAACUUUGAGCUUGAUGAAAAGAGAAAAGCUUAGUUAUCCCAAAUUUAGGAUCAAAUAGCUUGAUACCCGAGCUGAAGGGGCGGAACGUUCUUUCACCACUGGUUGUGAAAGAAUGACCACUGCCCCUCUGGGGUAUUAAAGCAAACUGACUGUACAGUAUAUCACAUCACCUACACAAUCUAACAGUUUAAACAGUAUCACAGGGUUGUGAUGGUAUUUUAGGUGCAGUAUGGAGCAAACACAUUACAGUAUAGUCAUCAUUUAUAAUUCCCUACAGCAUGACUCCAUCACCUGUGACUUCAGUAAUGAACACAGUAGAAUCAUUACUGUUCUGACAGAUAAAGAACCUGGUCAAAGUGGAAUUCAUGGAUUGGAGCAGAUGUCAGUGUUCCUAAUAAAGUGAACAAAGCAGCCUCACCCAGUUCCUGUCCACCUUCCUCCUGAUUGGUCCACAGCCUGCACCAAACAUCCCUCCAAUUUCUCUUUAGUCUGACUGAGGGAGGUAUUUGUUCUACAAUUUUCACUGUUGUUGUACUGUCACUCUGUCAGUAAUAACCUGCUGCAUCCUUAGUCAGAACUCCACACAUGAUUAUUGAAUGAUUUAUUUGAAAACUAACUGUUUUUCAGUAUAAGAUGAUGUACGCACAGAUCUGGUUAUGUACGCACAGAUCUGGUUACGCACACACGCAUCUAGUUACUCACACACAGCUUGGUUUACGCACACACAAAUGUAAUCUGGCCCUAAUUUGACUCCAUAUCCAUGGCCUUAUCUUAUUUUCCAUGAUAAACAUGUACAAACAAAAAAAUUAAUUAAGAUUUCCCCACAUAUUUACAUAUGGUCUCCGGGUCAUUCUGACCCCCAUAUACAAAUGAACAUAGAGAUGCACAUAUUAAGCACAGAAAAGCUGUUAGAUCUCAUAUUCUUGCAGUCCUGAAACUAUGUCAUCUAUCCAGACACUGAAAGAGGCCCACAGACAGAGAUAAAUAGGACAGAUGGAAUGUGGAAGUGGAAUGGAAGUGAGCACAACAAUAUCUGUGAGAUUUCUUUCACAUUUUACAACCUGGGACAGGAGCUCUCGAAGAAAGCUAAAAAUGGUUGGAACAAUCUAAAAAACGAGUCAAACUUCUAUUAUAAAUUGUGCUCUAAUAAGGCUGGUUGCAAAAAUUAAACAAAUGUGUUAUCUCUACUGUCUGUAAUUGAGAUAAAAGUCAUAUAUGUUAAUUGUUUAUGAAGUAGUAUUUAUAUUUUUAAUUGAUUUUAACACCCCAAAUAUGGGUCGGCCACCAGAGUGUCCCAAAAGUGAAGACCACAGUCACUGAAACACUGUAGAAUGCACUGAAUCCCUUUUGAUCAGGUAUCGACAAAGUGGUCGACACCACACUCGUGACUAAGCAGGAUGCUCCAACAGCUUUGCUUUGGUGGCAGGGUAUUCUGGUGAGUGACCUGACCUCGUGAGCUGCCUGACGUGUCCUUCAUUCUGCAAAGGUCAAAAAAUAGUAAUUGACAGUCGUCACCAACAACACAGACUUUGGCUGAAUAAAUCAUUGUAUCAGUGAAUUACGUUGAUAUUGCACAUCAGUGUCUGUCAAAACAUCACCACAAUCCUUCAAGCGUUCAAGUUUUUCGAUGUUGCGCUACAAGUCCUCUUGGGUGUUUUAUUGAGAAAGUCCUGCAACUGGCCCCGGCCCCUGUGUCCUUUUCUCUUAUUUCAUUGUCCAGGUGGGGACAAGGAGAAUGAGCAAAUUAGUAAGUAGCAAGUACAAUUUUUUUCAUGUAAGGACUUACUGCACCAAUGAAAAGACGUUAAUCAAUGUUUAUUUUAAAUACAAAUAAUAAAUGGCACACAACUGACCAAAAACCCCCUACAAACUAGUGGACUUAUCAGACCAGGCUAAUCAGACUGAGAACAUGUAAGCAACUGAUGUAAAAACACCUCUGUAUCGAUUCAAACAGUGAAUUUUUGGCAGCAGCGUCUACCUUUAUUUUGCCACAAGAGGGCGAACAUUAGCUUUGUUCUACACAAGUCUGUCCAGUAAAAGUCUGGAUGUGGAUUCCUUUAAAAUGUUUGGUGAGAAUAGUGCGAAAUAAUAGCUUUAAAUAUAUUCACAUUCGGUCCAUAAAACACACUGAUACAUGUAAUAAAAGGCUGAGAGCCGUGGAGAGUUGAGUCAUGAUCAUGAUGUAAAGUUGGUCAUAGGAUGCUAAUGUUCUAUAAUUCUGCUUUGGCAUUUCUAGUUUUACCACCUUUAAUUGUAUUUUCUGAUAUUAUUUUAUUUGUAUAUAUUAUUUCAUUUCCAGAUUCAAUAAUCUCAAAAAUAAAAAAGUGAGGAUGUGACACCGUGUGUUCUUUUCUCCGACGCAGGUUGAAUCUUUUUCCUGAUCAGCACUGAAGAUGUAUGCUUUUGCUAAGAUAAGUAUCUCCUCACAGUCCUGCCCUGAUCUUCCUGUCACCAACUUGCAUCCCCUCCAACUCAUCAUCGGAAAAGGGCUCUCUUGUCUGGAUUUACAGUUCUCCUAUUCUCUUCCGAUUUCUCUGUGGAUGUUUUUUCUCCACUGCGAAGUCGCUCUGCAUCAGACUGGGCUGAUGCGGUGGCCUGCUCCUUUGCCUUCCGGCUCCGCUUC